GAUCUCUUUCAAAGUACUUUUUUAUACAUAGUUAUAUUAUGUAACACAUGGAAAUCUAAGAGCUUUGUACAGAUGUGCAAAGAUGCAAUAAACAAGGUG